UACGGAGGGUGCAAGCGUUAUCCGGAUUCACUGGGUUUAAAGGGUGCGUAGGUGGGUCUGUAAGUCAGUGGUGAAAUCUCCGUGCUUAACAUGGAAACUGCCAUUGAUACUAUAGGUCUUGAAUUUUCUGGAGGUAAGCGGAAUAUGUCAUGUAGCGGUGAAAUGCUUAGAUAUGACAUAGAACACCAAUUGCGAAGGCAGCUUGCUAAACAAAUAUUGACGCUGAGGCACGAAAGCGUGGGGAUCAAACAGG
rnacentral:rRNA from 1 species